rnacentral:rRNA from 1 species
UGGGGAAUAUUGGACAAUGGGCGAAAGCCUGAUCCAGCCAUGCCGCGUGUGUGAAGAAGGUCUUCGGAUUGUAAAGCACUUUAAGUUGGGAGGAAGGGCAUUAACCUAAUACGUUAGUGUUUUGACGUUACCGACAGAAUAAGCACCGGCUAACUCUGUGCCAGCAGCCGCGGUAAUACAGAGGGUGCAAGCGUUAAUCGGAAUUACUGGGCGUAAAGCGCGCGUAGGUGGUUUGUUAAGUUGGAUGUGAAAUCCCCGGGCUCAACCUGGGAACUGCAUUCAAAACUGACUGACCAGAGUAUGGUAGAGGGUGGUGGAAUUUCCUGUGUAGCGGUGAAAUGCGUAGAUAUAGGAAGGAACACCAGUGGCGAAGGCGGCCCCCUGGACAAAGACUGACGCUCAGGUGCGAAAGCGUGGGGAGCAAACA